CAGCCUUCAGGAAAAUAAAAAAGAAGAGUUAUCUAUAAUAAAUUACAUAUGUGUCAUCUGUCAUAAUAAUAUUUAUUUAAUAGCUUAUUUCGAUAUAUGAAAUUGAAUUACUUUUAAUAAACUUGUAUAUAAAAAUUUUAAUAGAUUAUAAAUAUUACUCUAAUCAAGACCAUUUAAAAGUUGUGUGUAUAUUGAUUGAACAUAAGUUAUUUACAAACUUUCAAUAUGGAAAAAUCUUUUUGCAAAAUAAUUUUUUUCUAUUCUAGGGGCAUUUAAAAUAGAUUCUUCUAUCAGGAAACCGCGAUGUACACUCUUUUAAACCAGUAUCACAGGGUUGACGUCCUUUGAAUAACUGGACGACCUUGGUAAUUACAACCUUUUGCGCCCACAUGGUAGUAUCCAGCAGCAAACAAGAUGCAGUUUAUGCAGGACCGGUUAAAAAUAUGCUUUUUUAAAAAUAGUAAUCAUCAAGAAAAGAUAUGUUUAUUUAUAUUAUUAUUUAGUUACAUUGUAAUAAAUGAAAAUAUUGCUAAUUUAAUACUUGAAUCUUGGACGUAGUUAGACAAUACACUUUUCUGUAUAUCCAGAAUUUAGAAUAAAGUAAUUAAAAGGUAGUAAAAAA